CAGCCGCCGCGGGAAUACGUAGGUGGCAAGCGUUGUCCGGAAUUAUUGGGCGUAAAGCGCGCGCAGGUGGUUUAAUAAGUCUGAUGUGAAAGCCCACGGCUCAACCGUGGAGGGUCAUUGGAAACUGUUAAACUUGAGUGCAGGAGAGAAAAGUGGAAUUCCUAGUGUAGCGGUGAAAUGCGUAGAGAUUAGGAGGAACACCAGUGGCGAAGGCGGCUUUUUGGCCUGUAACUGACACUGAGGCGCGAAAGCGCGGGGAGCAAACAGGAUUAGAUACCCCCGUAGUCCCUGUCUCUUAUAC
rnacentral:rRNA from 1 species